rnacentral:rRNA from 1 species
GAUGAACGCUGGCGGCGUGCCUAAUACAUGCGAGUCGAGCGAACAGACGAGGAGCUUGCUCCUCUGACGUUAGCGGCGGACGGGUGAGUAACACGUGGAUAACCUACCUAUAAGACUGGGAUAACUUCGGGAAACCGGAGCUAAUACCGGAUAAUAUAUUGAACCGCAUGGUUCAAUAGUGAAAGACGGUGUUGCUGUCACUUAUAGAUGGAUCCGCGCCGCAUUAGCUAGUUGGUAAGGUAACGGCUUACCAAGGCAACGAUGCGUAGCCGACCUGAGAGGGUGAUCGGCCACACUGGAACUGAGACACGGUACAGACGCAUACGGGAGGGAGCAGUAGGGAAUCUUCCGCAAUGGGCGAAAGCUUGACGGAGCAACGCCGCGUGAGUGAUGAAGGUCUUCGGAUCGUAAAACUCUGUUAUUAGGUAAGAACAAAUGUGUAAGUAACUAUGCACGUCUUGACGGUACCUAAUCAGAAAGCCACGGCUAACUACGUG